rnacentral:rRNA from 1 species
UACUAGAGUAGCACUCGCAUAUCAAUAAGCGGAGGAAAAGAAACUAACAAGGAUUCCCCUAGUAACGGCGAGUGAAGCGGGAAGAGCUCAAAUUUGAAAUCUUAAAGGGUUUCCCUUUACGAAUUGUAGUUUAAAGAAGUGUUUUCUGUUGAGGUUUUGGUAAAAGUUCUUUGGAAUAGGACAUCAUAGAGGGUGAGAAUCCCGUAUUUGACCUUUACUUUCAACUUUGUGAUACACUUUCAAAGAGUCGGAUUGUUUGGGAAUGCAGUCCAAAAUGGGUGGUAAAUUUCAUCUAAAGCUAAAUAUUGGCGAGAGACCGAUAGCGAACAAGUACCGUGAGGGAAAGAUGAAAAGAACUUUGAAAAGAGAGUUAAACAGUACGUGAAAUUGUCAAAAGGGAAGCGUUUGACACCAGUGUUGUUUUUCUGAAAAUCAAUUAAAGAACUGUUUAUGCUAAGCUGUUUAGACUUUAUCAGCUAUCUGUUUAGUUUUGAGCUUUUCUUUAAUGCACUUUUCAGUUAACAAGUCAACAUCAAUUUCUUUUGCUGUAAAAAAGCUUGAGGAAGGUGGCUUGAGAUUCGUCUUAAGUGUUUAUAGCCUCUUGCCUAUGCAGUCGGAGAGAUUGAGGUCUGCAGCGUAGAUCCUUCGGGGCUAAAUGCAUUUGUGCUAAGUUAUAGCAUUUCAUAGACAACUUGUUGACUAUGAUUUGUCUUGUAGCUUACUCGCUUAUGUUAUUUUACCUACGCUUAGGAUGUUGAGUCAUCACACAUCUCU